GGGGAUGUGGCCCAGUGGUAGGGCGUUUCUCUGGCGUACAUAAAGCCCUGAGUUUGAUUCAUAGCACCACCA
rnacentral:tRNA from 1 species